rnacentral:rRNA from 1 species
UACAGAGGGGGCAAGCGUUGUUCGGAAUUACUGGGCGUAAAGGGCGCGUAGGCGGCUUUCUAAGUCAGGGGUGAAAUCCUGGAGCUCAACUCCAGAACUGCCUUUGAUACUGGAAAGCUUGAGUUCGGGAGAGGUGAGUGGAACUGCGAGUGUAGAGGUGAAAUUCGUAGAUAUUCGCAAGAACACCAGUGGCGAAGGCGGCUCACUGGCCCGAUACUGACGCUGAGGUGCGAAAGCGUGGGGAGCAAACAGG